rnacentral:lncRNA from 1 species
UCAUUUUGACUUGAAGUUUAGCAAAGUACAUAUAUAAGUUGGUCCAGAACUUCGCUUUUAUAAAACUUCUUCGAAAUAAAAUCAUUAUUCUAUGUAGAAGGACAGGUUAGUAAGACAUUUAGUUGCCUUUGAAACGUUUUUGAGCUGUUUUUGUUAAGUUUUAACUACUGUUUUAAACACGUUCUAUGAAUUCAUUAAAUUUCCCUUCCCAUUCAAGCGCUUCUUUCUCGCUUUAUUUUCUUCGUAUUUCUCGCCAGUUUUUUAGCAGGAAUGUUCAGAAAUACCUCUCAUUUGACGUAUGUAACUUAUAUUUGUUUUCUCUGCAGUUUUAGCCAAACAUUUGACGAGAAAAUUGACUUAAUACGAUCGCCGGUCGAAGACUCGAACACGUGGUAAGCAUGGUGGCCAUUAAAGGCUUUUGGUUCUUGUUUGUAGCUCGCUUUAUAAGCUUCCCUUAUACAAGUAAAACGUCCUUUAUCAUUGUUGAAGCUUUAUGAACACUCUUAAGUUGAGUUUUGUAUAAUUUUAUUGAACAUUUUGUCCGUACGGAGCGAAAUGCCGAAUUGUUUUGGGCGUGUGCAAUUUCAUGCCUUCUUGACUUGUCUGACCCCGUCCUUCAAUGUCUUUCAUUUGCGGUUCCUCUGCCCCCUUCGCUAAAAACUAACCCUUGGACAUUUGUUGUCGAACAUGGGUAUCAACAUCCAGUGUGACCAUAUAUGCAAAUUUUUUUACUAAAGCUGCUUAAAAUUGGUUGGCUGCCCCCUCCUGUUCUUAAUGUUGCAGUUGUUUAAAGCAGGUGGGGUUGUCUAAGGGCAUCCAACCGGAUCUGGUAAUAAAAUGUACUAAACCUGGUCACACUGUCAACAUGAGCCAAACCUGGUGAAUUGGGCGACCAUUAUGCCUUUGCAAUUAACAUUAAUGUUGAAAUGUUUAAAACUAUAAAUUAAAUUUAUUAUUCAACUCUUUGACUUUUAGGCUGCGUCAAGACCGAUAAUUUUGAAGGCAAGAAAUACAGAAAGUUACAGAAAGGCCUCUACACUUUCCAUUAAGAGAUGCUAGCCUAGCAUGCAGAAAAGAGGCGAAGAUUGAAGGAUGAAAUAUGCAGACUGCCAUCUAGCCUGCGUAAUAGACUUAGUAACUCAAUUCCAUUGUUAACCAUCUGUAUUCAUCAUCCGAUUUCGUUUGUGCCAAGUUUGGAAGAGAUUGCUACAAUGUUCAGUCGUAACAGAUGCUGCACGAAAGACAAAACAGAGCGGGCAAGAAGCAAGCCAUAACACCAUAGUCUAACAGUGACAGAUAGCCCAAAAGCUGAUCUAAACACACAUUAAUUAAUUCAAUCAAUCAGCCAUGCAUGGCUUGUCAAAUCACAACUGAUGGUGUACCAUCCAGACAACCUAACACACCAUCGUUCAACCUGUGCCACACCAUUGUUCAACGCCACUUCAACCUCCAGCACUGAGGAAUGCCAGCUUCUACUCAUCCUGGCCAAGUUGACAUACAUCACACAAGGUAUAUCAGUCGAAAGUAAUUGUGUUAAUUUUGAUAAAAGAAAUCGACUCUACCUAGGGUUUAGUUCUGUGGGUCCAACUUUUAAAACGUGUUUUCAUCGACAGUUGAAAGUAAUUGUUUAGAUGAAAGAAAUGUUUUUCAACACUUUACUGAAAGUUUGGAGUAGCUAGGUUGGGGCACUUUUUGAAUUUUUCAAAAAUUUCCGGUUGUCCCCCUUUGUCGACCCUAUAUAGGGUUGCCUUUGGUCCUCCCUCUUUGCAUUUGACCUAAAUUUUAAAAGAAACGGUUUUCAGCCAUCGUAGCAACAUUUGGAGUAGUUUUGGGAACAUAUUUAAUUUUAAUAAAAGUGGUUCCAGGAAUUAUUAUCUGACUUUGUCACUUAUGCAUAUAAUUUCUCAUAUUUCAGAUUCUCGUUGGUCGUGUUCGAAAGUACGUGGGACCACCCUGAUGACGCCCAGAUGUACAAAACAAAUUUUAACAUGGUAUCUUUUCUAUAAUUUCUGAAAUUUUUCAAAUUUUACACAUUUCCUGGUAUUUGUUGAAAACUGUUAACGAAAUUAAGAAUUUCUGAAAUUCGGAAGGUUCUAUCUGGGAGUUUGUUUAUUUGAAAGAUAUUUGAAAUGAAAUUUUGAAAUUUACAUCACUUUGGUAUUUGGUUUAAACGCUAGUUAAAAUCAUGCCGGAUGAGCGACUGACCAUUCGUCAGGGUUCCGUGGUAUUUGGGUUCCGAGUUUUCCCGACCUACAGUCGAGUUGCUUCGAUCGAUUAUCAUGAUCAACUAGCACAGGUGCAAGGUCUGGCCAACCUUACAUCUGUGCUUUUUGUUCGUGGCAUGAGAUUGGGGUAGUUCGCCUGUGGGCCUGGAAAGAUCGAACCAAAAUGUCGCCAAAGUUUGAUUUGUGGUCAGUUUUUUGUCUGUAUGGCUUUAUCCAGCGUUUUCCCGUUACCAUUUUGAUGCAGACUUUGGGAUUUUGGCUUGGAUAUCUUUAAUAUAAACAUUCUUUGAGGUUUAAUCUUUCAAGAAUUUCAUGGUUUUUGACUAGUUAAUGUGUUAACAAAAAAAAAUUAAACUGACCAAAACAUCAUUUGUGGUGUCAGAUGGGUGGUCCAAUGGUAGACGUAGUUGGUAUUAAUGGAUUACUGUGUACUUCUGGGAAUAUUGUGAACAUUUAUGGAUCAUUAUGAACAUUAAUGGAUUACUAUGAACACUUGUGGAAUAUUUGUGGAUAAAAAACGGUUACCUACCAAUGUACCUUAACAACAACGAGCUGCACAACGGUAAAGAGAGGUCUGCCUUCAGGUUAGAGGAUUAGGUGAUUAGCCUGCUAUCAGGCAGUAGUUGGUCUGCUAACAGGCAGAAUUCGUAGGAUUCGCACCCAAGACUUUAAUUUGCAUGUGUUCGGUGAAGUCUCUGGGUUAAACUAAUUUAAAAUUCCUGGCGGUCUGUCGUUAGUAGUACAUUUGCACAGAAGGUUGAUUUUUUAUUCAAAUGCUUGCAUGCUGAUAAACUUUGAAGUAAAAUUUCGGUAUCAUUUGCAAUCGAAAGUCAAUCUUAAAGAGGUUAGCAUUUGAGCUUUCGGUCACGUGGUUCUUUGCAUGCACUCGGUUCGGUUAUUGGUGGGUUUCAGUAAGAGUUACAGCCUACAUGAUGUCAUGAAUAUCAGAAAUGUUGACAUUCGCUGGAGCAAUUAUUUUGUUUUAAAUACAAGACUACUACAUAAAAUGAAAAAGAGUGAACACUAUUUUUCACUCUAGUAACUCGUACUGAAACCCACUAGUUAUUAAUAAAUUUGCGGUCUAUUCGUGCCAAUGUUCUUCUCUUUGUGUCAAAUGUACUGCUUAGGUGUCUGUGCAUGGAUAAACGCAGCGCGUAGCUAGUAUUCAGAAUAUAGGCAGACAAGUAAAACCUUGCCAGGCUUAAAAAUUUUGUUUAUAUCGAUAUGUUAUGUUCAUAAAUGUAUAGAAAAGUCAUGAAAUGGGUUAGGCUUCGGGUUAGGGUUAAAUCUAACCCUAUAACCUUAUCCUUAACCCAUUGCAUGAUCUGUAUAUUUGUGUACAUAUCGUAUGGGUGUAGCCAAAAUUCUAUGUUGAAAAGCUGGCAUAGUUUUCCUUGGGUAGGAUAACUAAACUGGGUGCAAAUGGUAUCCAUAGCUUAGAGGGUGCAAAUGGUACCCGUAAGAAGAUUGGUGGAUAUCGUGGUGGAUUGUUUGGAAAAGAUACUGGUGGGUAUUAACUUAGGACUGUAAUACAAUUGUUGUAAAGAUAAAUAGUCAUCGCCCGUAGUGCAUGUAUAUCGCUGGUUUCGAACGUUAGUUUUCUGACCCGGGUUAUAUGAAAACAGUUCGCUACCAGAGAUUAGAUCCCCUCUCUGUUACGGCGGCUCGACGAUGGAAGACAUUAACAUAAGGCAUGCUAACCUUACCCCUGUUUGUGGAAGCUCAUCAGGUGCAAUGGCACACUAGGUUAAGUUAAGCUAGGGGCAUGACCGAGACUCCACAUUCGGGGGUUUCCCUUGCAGGUGUUUGAAAGAUUAUAGUCA